rnacentral:rRNA from 1 species
CGGCAGGCUUAACACAUGCAAGUCGAGCGGUAACAUUUCUAGCUUGCUAGAAGAUGACGAGCGGCGGACGGGUGAGUAACGCGUAGGAAUCUGCCUAGUAGUGGGGGACAACAUGUGGAAACGCAUGCUAAUACCGCAUACGCCCUACGGGGGAAAGGAGGGGAUCUUCGGACCUUUCGCUAUUAGAUGAGCCUGCGUGAGAUUAGCUAGUUGGUGGGGUAAGGGCCUACCAAGGCGACGAUCUCUAGCUGGUCUGAGAGGAUGAUCAGCCACACUGGGACUGAGACACGGCCCAGACUCCUACGGGAGGCAGCAGUGGGGAAUAUUGGACAAUGGGCGCAAGCCUGAUCCAGCCAUGCCGCGUGUGUGAAGAAGGCCUUAGGGUUGUAAAGCACUUUCAGGAGUGAGGAAGGGUGUACGGUUAAUACCCGUAUAUUUUGACGUUAACUCCAGAAGAAGCACCGGCUAACUCUGUGCCAGCAGCCGCGGUAAUACAGAGGGUGCGAGCGUUAAUCGGAAUUAC